GCCCUUUUUCUGUUGUACUACUGGCAAGUAUGAUUAGCAGUGCAAUAUUAAAAGGGCAU
rnacentral:pre_miRNA from 1 species